UUGAAUCUGUGGAGCCUCGUAUGCACUUGCCAAAGCCUGGAGAUUGCUGUUCUCUGUCUUGUGGGGCUUGCCAGUUGCCUGCUUUGCUGAACUUCUUGCUCUGGUUACUGUUUAGCUAACCUGGCUUAUUGGACUGCUGGCCCUGGUUGCUGUUUUGGUUAACC